AAUUUUCGCUCGCUUUCUUUCUGGAGAGGUUGUUUUCUGUAGCUCAGCCGCUGCUCUCCGAGCUCCGACUAUCCCGUUCCGAGCUCCGUCUGUUCUAUUCCGAGCUCCGCCUCUGCUUGCUGUCGGCGGUCGCUGCCCCCCAAGAUCAAGUUCUGCCGCCUAUCCUGCAUCCGAGUUGGUACAGGAUCGAAGCAGAUAUGAUCUACACUGCGAUCGAUAACUUCUACCUGACCGACGAGCAGUUGAAGAACUCGCCUUCAAGGAAGGAUGGUAUCGAUGAGGCGACUGAAACGACACUCCGAAUCUACGGAUGCGACCUUAUUCAAGAGAGCGGCAUUUUGCUUAGACUACCUCAGGCAGUGAUGGCGACAGGCCAGGUCCUUUUUCACCGCUUUUACUGCAAAAAAUCACUCACGAAAUUUCAUGUGAAGAAAGUUGCUGCAAGUUGUGUCUGGCUUGCCUCGAAGCUUGAGGAAAGCCCCAGAAAAGCCAGGCAAGUCCUCAUCGUUUUCCACAGAAUGGAAUGUAGGAGAGAAAACUUACCCAUAGAGCAUCUAGACUUGAGUUCAAAGAAAUACAUUGAGCUGAAAACAGAGCUGAGCAGAACGGAAAGGCAUAUAUUGAAAGAAAUGGGUUUCAUCUGUCAUGUUGAGCAUCCCCACAAAUUUAUAUCAAACUACCUUGCCGCCCUUGGAAAUCCUACGGAGUUGAGACAGGAAGCUUGGAACCUGGCAAAUGAUAGCUUGCGGACUACCUUAUGUGUUCGUUUCAAGAGUGAGGUCGUGGCCUGUGGAGUCGUAUAUGCAGCUGCCCGAAGGUUCCAGGUGCCCCUGCCUGAGAACCCGCCGUGGUGGAAGGCAUUCGAUGCGGAGAAAUCUGGAAUUGUUGAAGUAUGCAAGGUGCUGGCUCAUCUUUACAGCCUGCCAAAGGCACAAUAUAUACCUGUAUGCAAGGAUGGGGAAUUCACGUUCUCUAACAAGUCAUUGCAUUCACAGUCCAAAGUAGUCACCAAGGAAAUUUUGCCAACUAGCCCCCAAGCUAAUAAUGAAUCAGGCACUACCAAGACCCCCCCCUCAGCAGCUAACGUUGAAUUAGGUGGAUCCAAGGGUGAAAGUGGGAAAUCAGAAAGUAAGGAAUCUAAGAAGAGUGACGAUCAACUGAAGAGCAUGGCAGUUGAUGGACAGACAACAGAAGAACCUCCGCCCAAGUCUAAGUCCGAAGCAAGUGGAGUAAGGAGCAAGGAGCGAGAGGACAGAGACAAAGACCGCGAUCGCGAUCGCGACCGCGACCGCGACCGUGACCGGGAAAGGGAUAGGGAGAGGGACAGAGUGAGAGUGAAGUCCCGCGAGCGUGACAGGGGCAGAGAUUCUGACAGGGAAAGGGAUCGAGAUGAUUCUGAGAGGGAUAGGGUACGAGAUAGGAGUUACCGCAUGAAGGAUAGAGCGAAGGACUCAGUGGUCUCCUGACAUGGCGUGUUGGAUUUCUCUGCUUUCAGGGCAUUCAGAUAAGUCGAGGCACCAUUCUUCACGAGAUCGGGACUAUCACGGUUCAUCAUAUUCAUCGAGGGAGAAAGACAGGCACAGACAUCAUUAAUAGACCCAAACCAGUUUCCGUUCCCUCUAUCUCCUGCAAUGCUCUCGCAUUAAGUCGAUUUAAUUGUGCAUUCGUAAUGUUUAUGUGAGGCAUAGGUUAGAGGAUUGGGUGGGGGUGAAGUUUCUUAUGGGAGUAUCGAGUAGUUUUUUGAUUGGUAGUUUUACUGAGUAGUUUACGGGAGUAUUGAGCAGUUUAUGUUUUACUUGUACGUACCAUAGUACAGUAAUCGAGUAUAACAGUCAUCAUCUAUCUUAUAUAAUAACAGUCUUUUACCGGUCUCUUACGAAAUCA